GUUUCUGUACAGCACUUUGAGACAUCAGCUGAUGUACGAAGGGCUAUAUAAAUAACAUUUGAUUGAUUGAUUGAUUGAUUGAAUUGAAUUGAUAGAGGGUCGACACAUGAGGUGUCAAAUCCUAAAACAAGAAGAGAUCCAUUUUUCUAGAAGAGAAAACUGUACAUGCCUCUCAUCCAUACAGAGGAUGUCAAAAGUAGCUAGAGGGUGUGGGAGUUGGAGGAAUUGUGGGAGUUUAGAGGUUAAAGUUCAUGUCAGUGGUGUUGGCGUAAGCAUGUUAGCCCACGGUUGGUUAGCAAACAAACAUUGAAUAUUCAGAGAUACAAACAUAAAUAAAACAGCCCCAGACAAAGAUGUACUGUACUAGACUGUAUGAUAGAACAGUCAUCAGAGACAACACAGAGAGAUAAAGACAGCAAGGUAACAGAUGUACUGUACUAGACUGUAUGAUAGAACAGUCAUCAGAGACAACACAGAGAGAUAAAGACAGCAAGGUAACAGAUGUACUGUACUAGACUGUAUGAUAGAACAGUCAUCAGAGACAACACAGAGAGAUAAAGACAGCAAGGUAACAGAUGUACUGUACUAGACUGUAUGAUAGAACAGUCAUCAGAGACAACACAGAGAGAUAAAGACAGCAAGGUAACAGAUGUACUGUACUAGACUGUAUGAUAGAACAGUCAUCAGAGACAACACAGAGAGAUAAAGACAGCAAGGUAACAGAUGUACUGUACUAGACUGUAUGAUAGAACAGUCAUCAGAGACAACACAGAGAGAUAAAGACAGCAAGGUAACAGAUGUACUGUACUAGACUGUAUGAUAGAACAGUCAUCAGAGACAACACAGAGAGAUAAAGACAGCAAGGUAACAGAUGUACUGUACUAGACUGUAUGAUAGAACAGUCAUCAGAGACAACACAGAGAGAUAAAGACAGCAAGGUAACAGAUGUACUGUACUAGACUGUAUGAUAGAACAGUCAUCAGAGACAACACAGAGAGAUAAAGACAGCAAGGUAACAGAUGUACUGUACUAGACUGUAUGAUAGAACAGUCAUCAGAGACAACACAGAGAGAUAAAGACAGCAAGGUAACAGAUGUACUGUACUAGACUGUAUGAUAGAACAGUCAUCAGAGACAACACAGAGAGAUAAAGACAGCAAGGUAACAGAUGUACUGUACUAGACUGUAUGAUAGAACAGUCAUCAGAGACAACACAGAGAGAUAAAGACAGCAAGGUAACAGAUGUACUGUACUAGACUGUAUGAUAGAACAGUCAUCAGAGACAACACAGAGAGAUAAAGACAGCAAGGUAACAGAUGUACUGUACUAGACUGUAUGAUAGAACAGUCAUCAGAGACAACACAGAGAGAUAAAGACAGCAAGGUAACAGAUGUACUGUACUAGACUGUAUGAUAGAACAGUCAUCAGAGACAACACAGAGAGAUAAAGACAGCAAGGUAACAGAUGUAUAAAGAGGGAGAGAGAGAAGUACAGAAAGGAACAAGAAACAGAGAAGCACAUACGAAGGCUCAUAUCCAUCAGGCAGUACCAUAGUCAUGCAAUCAAACAGGGGAGAGGAGAGGAGAGGAGAGGAGAGGAGAGGAGAGGAGAGGAGAGGAGAGGAGAGGGAAGUAGAAGAAAGGAGAAGAGGGGGCAAGAGUAAUGAGGCUGAGAGGAGAUAAAGGAGAAGAGAUAAAGGAGA